GACGAACGCUGGCGGCGUGCUUAACACAUGCAAGUCGAACGGAAAGGCCCUGCUUUUGUGGGGUGCUCGAGUGGCGAACGGGUGAGUAACACGUGAGUAACCUGCCCUUGACUUUGGGAUAACUUCAGGAAACUGGGGCUAAUACCGGAUAGGAGCUCCUGCUGCAUGGUGGGGGUUGGAAAGUUUCGGCGGUUGGGGAUGGACUCGCGGCUUAUCAGCUUGUUGGUGGGGUAGUGGCUUACCAAGGCUUUGACGGGUAGCCGGCCUGAGAGGGUGACCGGCCACAUUGGGACUGAGAUACGGCCCAGACGCCUACGGGAGGCAGCAGGGGGGAAUAUUGCACAAUGGGCGGAAGCCUGAUGCAGCAACGCUGCGUGCGGGAUGACGGCCUUCGGGUUGUAAACCGCUUUCGCCUGUGACGAAGCGUGAGUGACGGUAAUGGGUAAAGAAGCACCGGCUAACUACGUG
rnacentral:rRNA from 1 species